rnacentral:tRNA from 1 species
CGGGACGUGGCGAAGUUUGGUAUCGCGCUUGCUUUGGGAGCAAGAUGCCGCUGGUUCGAAUCCAGUCGUCCCGACCA